rnacentral:lncRNA from 1 species
AAAAAAAAAAAAAAAAAAAAAAAAAAAAAGAGGAAAUUGGAAAUUGGGAAAUUCAACAAAAGCUUCAUCAAUGGAGGACAAAUAUCAAUCUCAAAAGCUUCGUACUAUGUUCAUUAAGAUAGUGCGAAGCACAAUCAAUUUAUGGUGCCAACAAAAGCUUCAUCAAUGGAGGACAAGUAUCAAUCUCCAAAGCUUCGCACUAUGUUCAUCAAGAUAGUGCGAAGCACAAUCAAUUUAUGGUGCCAACAAAAGCUUCAUCAAUGGAGGACAAGUAUCAAUCUCCCAAGCUUCGCACUAUGUUCAUCAAGAUAGUGCGAAGCACAAUCAAUUUAUGGUGCCAACAAAAGCUUCACCUAUAAAGCUUCAACCCCAAAGCUU